UGGGGAAUAUUGCACAAUGGGCGCAAGCCUGAUGCAGCCAUGCCGCGUGUGUGAAGAAGGCCUUCGGGUUGUAAAGCACUUUCAGCGAGGAGGAAGGUGGUGAACUUAAUACGUUCAUCAAUUGACGUUACUCGCAGAAGAAGCACCGGCUAACUCCGUGCCAGCAGCCGCGGUAAUACGGAGGGUGCAAGCGUUAAUCGGAAUUACUGGGCGUAAAGCGCACGCAGGCGGUUUGUUAAGUCGAUGUGAAAUCCCCGGGCUCAACCUGGGAACUGCAUUUGAAACUGGCAAGCUAGAGUCUCGUAGAGGGGGGUAGAAUUCCAGGUGUAGCGGUGAAAUGCGUAGAGAUCUGGAGGAAUACCGGUGGCGAAGGCGGCCCCCUGGACGAAGACUGACGCUCAGGUGCGAAAGCGUGGGGAGCAAACAGAUUAGAUACCCUGGUAGUCCACGCUGUAAACGAUGUCGAUUUUGGAGGUUGUGCCCCUUGAGGCGUGGCUUCCGGAGCUAACGCGUUAAAGUCGACCGCCUGGGGAGUACGGUCGCAAGAUUAAAACUCAAUGAAUUGACGGGGUCAUAGCUG
rnacentral:rRNA from 1 species